GUAGGCUAGCUGGCAGUGGCUGCGUUGUUGAUUCGGGGGCUAGCUGGCUAGCUAGCAGUGUUGAUUACGUUCCGUUGCGUUAAAAGAACGACAAUAGCUGGCUAGGUAACCUAGAAAAUCGUUCUAGACUACACAAUUAUCUUUGAUACAAAGACGGCUAUGUAGCUAGCUAUGUAGCUAGCUACGAUCAAACAAAUCAAACCGUUGUACUGUAAUGAAAUGAAAUGAAAAUGUGAUACUACCUGUGGAGCGAGGCGGAAUGCGACCGGGUUGUUGAGUUCUAAUCGGUAGACGUUGGCUAGCUGUUGGCUAGCUAGCAGUGUCUCCUACGUUAAGGACGACAAAUAGCUGGCUGCGUUGUUGAUUCAGGGGCUAGCUGGCUAGCUAGCUAGCAGUGUUGAUUACGUUACGUUGCGUUAAAAGAACGACAAUAGCUGGCUAGGUAACCUAGAAAAUCGCUCUAGACUACACAAUUAUCUACACAAUUAUCUUUGAUACAGAGACGGCUAUGUAGCUAGCUAGGUAGACGGUGGGCGUUAGCUAGCUGGCUAGCUGCUGGGCAGAUACGUUAGGACGACGAAAUACGAUAAUUACGCAAUUAUUUUUGAUACAAAGACGGCUAUGUAGCUAGCUAAGAAGAAAUUGCUAAGAUUAGACAAAUCAAACCGUUGUACUAUAAUGAAAUGUAAUGAAAAGUUAUACUACCUGCAGACCGAAGUGCAGACCGAAGUGCGGAUGCGACUGCUCGCUCCAACCCUGUUCUUUAUGUAGAAAUAAGAGAAAGAUAGUUGUCACAUUUUAUGUAUAGAUAAGUAAAUCCAAGCCAUGUAUAAACUUGGACACUUGUUGAAUAUAUUUUUAUUCAAACGUGUAUUAGGCGACCAAUUUUAAGGAUCAUGAAAGCAAUGUAUUGGAUAGCCUCGUUCCUUGUCCCUCCAGAAAAUGCUGCAGCGACUACACAGCAUAAUCGGACUGAGCUUGUUGUCAUUGCAGGCAAUCUCAACGCUGUGCAUUACAGGGAAGACAUCCUCCUCCCUCAUGUGGUACCCUUCCCGCAAGGUACCACAUGAGAAAGACAGGAAUGUCAGGAAUGUCUUCCUGCAAGACAGGAAUGUCAGUGUUCUGCCAUGGCCAGCGAAGAGCCCGGAUCUCAAUCCCAUUGAGCACGUCUGGGACCUGUCGGACCGGAGGGUGAGGGCUAGGGCCAUUCCCCCAGAAAUGUCCGGGAACUUGCAGGUGCCUUCGUGGAAGAGUGGGGUAACAUCUCACAGGAAGAACUGGCAAAUCUGGUGCAGUCCAUGAGGAGGAGAUGCACUGAAGUGCUUAAUGCAGCUGGUGGCCACACCAGAUACUGACUGUUACUUUUGAUUUUGACUCCCCUUUGUUCAGGGCCACAUUAUUCAAUUUCUGUUAGUCACAUGUCUGUGGAACUUGUUCAGUUUAUGCCUCAGUUGUUGAAUCUUCUUAUGUUCAUACAAAUAUUUACCCAUGUUGAGGUUCGUUGAAAAUAAACACAAUUGACAGUGAGAGGAUGUUUCUUCUUUGCUGAGUAUAAAAGCUCAAUAAAAGGUCCUCCCAAGUGGCGCAGUGGUCUAAGGAACUGCUUCGCAGUGAUAGCUGUGCCACUAGAGAUCCUGGUUCGAGUUAAGGCUCUGUUGCAGCCGCCGAGACCGGGAGACCCAUGGGGCAGCGCACAAUUGGCCCAGUGUUGUCCGGGUUAGGGGAGGGAUUGGCCGGCAGGGGUGUCCUUGUCCCAUCGCUCUCUAGGGACUCCUGUGGAGCAUACACGGUCACCAGGUGUACGGUGUUUCCUCCGACAUAUUGGUGUGGCUGGCUUCGGGUUAAGCAAGCAUUGUGUCAAGAAACAAUGCGGCUUGGUUGGGUUGUGUUUCAGAGGACGCACGGCUGUUGACUGACGCCUCUCCCGAGUCUGUACAGGAGUUGCAGCGAUGAGACAAGACUGUAACUACCAAUUGGAUAUCAUGAUAAAGGGGCUGUAGUCUACUACACGGAAAUCCUGAGGAACAGUGAUGUCCAGCUCCAGCAGACUGCCUGUCUGGCCCUCAAGUGUCUCAAAGCGAUGGAGAGCGUGGAGCAGGAGGCUGAGUUGUGGUGGUCAUCUGACGAGGACCUGCGCAGUGCUGUUAGAGAGACCGUGCUAUCAUAGGGUAACCAUGGCUGACAGAGGAAGAACAAUGAUUCCAGUGCAAUCCGUUUUGUCACCAAAGCCCCAUAUACUACCCACCAUUGCGACCUAUACGCUCUCGUUGGCUGGCCCUCGCUUCAUACUCGUCGCCAAACCCACUGGCUCCAUGUCAUCUACAAGACCCUGCUAGGUAAAGUCCCCCCUUAUCUCAGCUCGCUGGUCACCAUAGCAUCUCCCACCUGUAGCACACGCUCCAGCAGGUAUAUCUCUCUAGUCACCCCCAAAACCAAUUCUUUCUUUGGCCGCCUCUCCUUCCAGUUCUCUGCUGCCAAUGACUGGAACGAACUACAAAAAUCUCUUAAAUUGGAAACACUUAUCUCCCUCACUAGCUUUAAGCACCAACUGUCAGAGCAUCUUACAGAUUACUGCACCUGUACAUAGCCCACCUAUAAUUUAGCCCAAACAACUACCUCUUUCCCAACUGUAUUUAAUUUAUUUAUUUAUUUUGCUCCUUUGAACCUCAUUAUUUUUAUUUCUACUUUGCACAUUCUUCCAUUGCAAAACUACCAUUCCAGUGUUUUACUUGUUAUAUUGUAUUUACUUUGCCACCAUGGCCUUUUUUGCCUUUACCUCCCUUCUCACCUAAUUUGCUCACAUUGUAUAUAGACUUGUUUUUUUUACUCUAUUAUUGACUGUAUGUUUGUUUUACUCCAUGUGUAACUCUGUGUCGUUGUAUGUGUCGAACUGCUUUGCUUUAUCUUGGCCAGGUCGCAAUUGUAAAUGAGAACUUGUUCUCAACUUGCCUACCUGGUUAAAUAAAGGUGAAAUAAAUAAAAUAAAAAAUUCCAAACACCAACCUCCUUUUGAAGCUUCCAGUCUAUUAUUCGAACUCAAUCAGCAUGACUGAGUUAUCUCCAGCCUUGUCCUUGUCAACACUCAUACCUGUGUUAACGAGAGAAUCACUGACAUGAUGUCAGCUGGUCUUUUUGUGGCAGGGCUGAAAUGCAGUGGAUUUUUUUUUUUGCAAUUCAGUUCAUUUGCAUGGCAAAGAGGGACUUUGAAAUUCAUUGCAAUUCAUCUGUUCACUCUUCAUAACAUUCUGGAGUAUAUGCAAAUUGCCAUCAUACAAACUGAGGCAGCAGACUGUGAAAAUUAAUAUUUGUGUCAUUCUCAAAACCUUUGCCCACGACUGUAGAUCCUCCAUAUGACAUUGAGAAAUAGUGCAUUGUGGUAGUUUAGAACAUAUCUGUAAAUAAUUUAUUAAAUAUGUAAUAACCCAAAAACAUAACUAUUUUUGUAGUUAUAGGUAGCCAGAUUAUGACUACAACUAAGUUACUAAGUCUCUGACCACAUUGUGUUACAUUAGUAAGUAAAAACUCAUGCUUUCUAGCCUUUAAAGGGCGACUGCACUUCCUGAUUUGACCUUGAUUUUCAUCAAUGCUCAUUAAGAAAUGCUAGAGGCCAUAACUGAAGGCAAAUGAGAGCCAUUCAAUCACAACAAGCAAGGGCAGUAGUGAAUACGGUGAGGUAAGCUAAGAUAGCUUUGCUAUGAAGAGAACAAAGUUUUGAAGUUGAGGACUUCUCCCCUCCUGACCGACUCGCCAUCUCAAGUUGGUCAUCUAAUUCAGUUACAAGUAUAGGCUAAAGGCUGCGCUGACCUUGUGUUUUGCCAAACUGACAGUAACUACCUAGCAUAGCUUGGUGAUAACUGUAGCUGGCUAUCAUAUUUAGCUGAUAUUUCUCUGUCAAAUCAGUUAUGCCAAGAAUGUGUUUCAUAAGACACUUGCUACGAAAGUAAUUUAGUUUCAGCGUGUCACGACUUCCGCCGAAGUUGGUUCCUCUCCUUGUUCGGGCGGCGUUCGGCGGUCGGCGGUCGGCGUCGCCGGUCUUCUAGCCAUCAUUGAUCCACUUUUCAUUUUCCAUUUGUUUGGUCUUGUCUUCCCACACACCUUGUUUAAAUUCUAUCAUUACAUGUUGUGUAUUUAACCCUCUGUUCCCCCCAUGUCCUUGUCCGGAAUUAUUUAUUGUAAGUGCAUGUGCAUGUUUAUUCUGGUGUGCGACGGGUUUUUGUAACCAUUUAUUGUUUGUUCUGAUCUGGGGGGUUUUAUUAUUAAACUGCUCCGUUGUAAACCCAGA